UUAUUCCCUAUCUUUCACUUUCAUUCAGAUGGGGUUUUCACAGCCACACCACCGCUUGCAACCACUGCCACAUCUCCUUGCAACCACCGCCACUUCUCUUCAACGGGAAUCCUUUUUGCUAGAUAGUGAACAAAUUCUGCUUUGUAAGGAACAAAGAGCAGCAUAAACGAACCAGUAAAAAACCCAACAAGGAAAAGAGUUCUAUCGUCAUUCCAAAGCUUCACUAUGCUUUCAGGUUUCUCUUUUUACACAUUUCGUUUACUCUUUCACGUUUCUUCAUUUCAUAUUUGAAUUCCUCUAUUUGUGAUUUAGGUUAGCAUAUUGAAAAACGAAACGAAUAUAUGGUGAUUGAUAUUUAGAUCAUCACAGGGGAGAGAGAUCCGUAGCGGAGAGCGGUGUCGGUAUUGGAAGCUACUAAUCUUUGGUGAUUGAGAUUUUUUCUUCAAUUUGCUUGAUGAAAUUUAUUAAAAAAUGAUUUUCAUUUUUAGAAAAGAUGGAAAAAAUGAUUUUCACUUUAUUUAAUGUUGUAGCUUCAGAUUUUUUUUAGUUUUCAACUUAAAAUUUUGAUAUCUAUUUGUUUUUUUAAUGAUUUAUAGUAAUUUGGAGCUUUGCAUGUUGUUUGUGAUAUGUGAAUUGCUGAAUACUUGAAUUAAAAAAUUUCUUCCGUUGAUUGUUUGCAAUAUACUUUUCAGAGAUUUUCAGUAGUUUAACCCUUAAUUUUAAUUUCAACUUUUAGGCUAUUAAAUAAUGAAGAACAAGCUUGAAUGCUCUGAAGGUGGUGUCAUGCGAUAACUAACAGGUGUAGAUAAUGUAUAUAUCUCUCUGCAUCAGUUUGUUGUUAUUUUCUCCAUAAUUAUCCUCUUCCAUGAUUUACAUAUUUUCGUUACAGCUAUUGUUAUAAUUCUUUUUCCCCUUCAUUGGUUUCUCUUCUGCAGUGAAAAUCAAUUUAGUUAGCAAUGCAUAAUGUUGUUGGUGAUCUCAUCUGCGUUCAGAUGUUGCCGUCAUCUGGUGGAUUCAGUUUGCUACUGCCACUACUGCACCAAGGGAUUUAUGUCAAUUGUUGAGGUGAUGAACUCAUGUAUCUAGAUGUAUCUGCUAUAUCCACUAUAUUAAUUGUUAUUGCAGUAAUCCCAUGGUUUCAAAUUUCUUAGUUGUUUGAUUUUUAUUUGUAGAUUGGACUUUUGUGCAGUAGUUACAACACCAAUUAUUGAAUUUUAUAGUCGUCUAAUGAGUUUGCUACUUGAUCUUAUUUUAGCUACUUGAUUUGGUAAAGGACAGAUGUAAAAUCUUGAUAACUACUUUGUUAAUUUUUUUAUUAUUAUUAGAGUAAACAAAUAGCUGACAACAUCUGUUAUGAUUUCUUUCUGAUUCCUUUUUGUAAUUCCAUAAUGAUAUGUAGUAAUUACAAAUAUUUUUAGAAUUAAAAUGGAUUGAGCCUAAAUUAGGACAUGGAAAUAUCAACUUGAAGAAGUUAAUUAAAUUUUCUACUGUAACAAAGAUUGUGACAUAUGUUUUGAUUUGGACAUGUCUCUAAACAUUUUCCUCUAUACAUUUGUGUCUUUAUCAACCUUCGUUACACUUUGUUUGAGUUGUAAUGUUUUUCUCUCUAAUGCUGUAAAUAUUUCACAACUCAUUCUCCAAUAUUGCUGCUUAUAGUUUUCUUUUCUUUUUCAUAAUUUUAUUUCGUUUUGCUUCCAAUUAUGCUUUUUAUCUUUACCUCCUUAUUUUAGGUUUUGUUUAGGUGUGACUGAUACAUUGAGUCAAAUUGUGGAAUUUGAUGGAUAGAUUGUUAGAAAUAUUGUUUAUGUUGUUCAAAAUAAGCACCAAUCUAGACUGUGACUUACAUUUUUUGUUUGCUUAAUCUACGUCUCUUCAAAAGUCACAACAUGAUAUUUAGCUACUGAUUUGUUGACAUUGAUUAUGUCUUAGUUUGAGAUAUUGUUAUUGCUACUAUGUUAAAAUCAAAGGUACUGAUUUGAUGUUAUGUAAAUUUCAGUUUUCAUUGAGCAUGCCAAAUGGAAUCCAUGAUUUUGGUUUAUUUGCUUCAAACCAAAAUCAUGGAGCUUAUACUGAAGAAUGAUUUGCAUAACUUCUUCACUAUGGUUUGGAGCUUAUCAGGUUAUCCUCUGUAACUUUAGGUUUGUGAAUCAAUUAUUUGUGACACAAACAUCUAAAUUAAGCAUCAAUUAUUUGUGAGCGCAUAUGAAGUUCAUUUUCCUAGCAUUGAUUGUAUACAUCCUGGUGGUAGGCAGCAACAAAUAAUGAUAUGAUUUUAAGGGAUGACAUUAUUUAUUCCUUAAUGUUUUUCUAUUUAUAUUUGUUAGUUCUUACAAGUCCUUUAUUUUUUUAAAGGUUUGAUUCCUAAUUAAAAUGCAUUCUUCUGAUGUAGUCAUCGUAUUAUCGAAUGGAUCGAUGAUGCUGGUGGAAUGUGGUUCAAAGGAUUGGGGAUGCAAGGUUCAUUGGUUCCUUAACGGAUAUCCAUGUAAGAAUUUUUAUUUGACCUCUUUUUUAAUUGUGUGAUUCAAGAACUUUGUUUGAAUUUUAUUUGGUAUCUUCAAUGUAUGUUGUUCAAAUCUGAAUCGAAGGAGAAAUAAUAGGUUGCUUCAUAUAUAAACAUGGCUGCCUGUGAGAGUUAUAUGUUGUUCAUGUAUCAAUCAGACAUAAUAAUCAAUUUGUUUUUUCAACAAUCUAUUAUCGUUCAAGAAUGCCGAAAUUUAGAGUUUUUUUUUUCAUGUGUAUUGUUUGUUUUUUCCUGUUUAUUGUUUGUUGUUUGAUAGCAAUAAUGUAAUUGAAUAGAGUUCUCAUUAAUCAUACUCUUAUGAAAUAAAGGACUGAUUAUGGUCGAGAUUAGAAUGCCUCAAUUUAGAAUUUUUUUCUUCUUUUUUCGAAAUACUGAUCGUUAUUUAGUGGUGAUAUUGUAGUUAAUAAGUGACGUCAGUAGUCAUUUGUAACUGACUAAAUGAAUUUUUAAGAUCUUCAGUUGUACUGCAUUAGCUUUGUUUCCUUUACUCAUCACAACCAAAUACCAUGACAUUAUAAUGAAUAAUAUUGCCUAUUUGCAGGUUUGAAAACAAACAAAGUAUGUGGGUAUGAGAUGUUUAGUGCAAAACUAAUGACAUUGGUCACUUUGGACAGAGGAGCUAGGUACGUGAAGUUGGAUGUACAAGAGUUUAUGUGUUACUAUAAUGAAUCGUUUUUAGUCAAAAGAUUGCAUUGUUUACUUUCCCUGGUUUAUAUAUCUAUCAUUAUGUUUCUCUCAUUUAAUUAUAGUACUUGACCGUGUUGGAUUUGUUUAUCUUUGAAUAAUUAUAAUUUUUUACAAACAAAAAUCUUGAGGCAAUCCAUAAAUGUCGCAAUUUCAAGAUGUUUUCCGUCAUGCGGGACUGGACUAGGUGAUCAUGUUUUUGGUCAUCUUUGCGAGUAUCACCUUUCCAAUAGUUUGAUAUUGAUUAGCUUUUGGUUAAUUUGAACUCAGCAACAUGGUCAUAAAUUAUCAAUGUCUGAUUUUGAUGCCAUUGAAAAAACUUGGUUAUAAGGAGGGUAUUUGCUGUAAGGAGAGAAUCUAAUGCAUGAAUGCAGUAAUAUCAGAGUAACCAUCAAAGUAUUUUGGCACAAUGAGAGAGUUCAGAGGACAUGGAUUUGAGUUGAAAUGUAUUGCAUGAUUCUUUUGCUUUUGCUUAUGCAUAUGCAUGCAUGUUUGUAUAUUAUAGACAUAGUUUCUGUUUUGGUGAUUAGGAGUGAAAUAUUUUUCAUUGUUCUUUACAGUUUAAUGUAUAUCUAAUUAGCUAUAAGAUUAAAAUAAAUUAAAGUAUAUGAAAAUCCAUUCAUGAAGUAAUUUUCCUUUCAACUUGCAAAGGAAUUUAAGGAGUCUUUUUUAGACUAAAGCAAUCAUUUAAAAUUUUGAAUGUCAUUGACCAUACUCCUUUAGGCCUUUUUUAGCCGCUAACAUUUUUCAAUGUCAUUGAUCUUUAAUUCGAUAAGUUUAUUCUAUGUUGACACAUGUGAAAUUGAUUGAAGACUUUUCUGGUGUGUUAGAAAUCUAUAUUUACUUUGCGAAUUCAUUUUUUCAAGCCACCUCAAAAAAAUUCUCUCUAUAAGGUUGUUCUAGAAAGUUUGAUGUAUAGUGUAAGAAACAUAUUUUGUUAUUUUACUUUGCAUCCGAGUAAGCUUAUAUAUUGUAUUUAUAGCUUUGUUGUGGUCUACAAUCUUAUUCAGAAAACCUAAGAUAAUUUUAUAAAAACACAUUGACAUGGAAAAUGAUCUGUCAAUAUUAAUUGAUUCACAUUUUUAGCAUUCAUUAUUAAGUCACUUAUACAAAAACUCUAUUAAUGACUCAAUUCUUUUGCAUAUUUGGACUAUGAAAAUGCAUUAGAGAGCAACACCAAUGUCAUUUUGCUGCCAUAUAUAUGUUUUUCCCAUAGCUUUAGUAUUUUUAUGUUCACAAGCAUCCUAAUAUUUCUUUGUUUAGUCUCACUAGCUCCCUAUCAUACUUUGAUCUUCAUCUUUGUUUUACAAUCCUUUUCUGUUAUUUUAAUUCUAUUAUAAUAAGCAGCCUUGCUUUUUGUUUGUUGAAUUGUGGUUUCAUGCUCAAUCUUACCUCAUGCAGGUUUGGAAGAUUGUGAAAUGAAGAUAUGGCAAAAAUUUGAGACGAUACCUAAUGUUUUUAGUUGAUAGUAUAUAUAAGCUUUGAUACAAUUCAUCUGGAUUUUACAAUGCAAGGAUUUUACAUUGAAAAUUAAAUGGAAGCUUUGAUAAGAUUCUAAAUGUCCUUGAGGUGCAUGUUAGGAUGAUUUUGUUUGCAAUAUUGUAACUGCAUUAAGUUAUUUUUUGAAAGUGUGAUAGGUUUGAAAACAUUGGUACCAAUGAAGAUGAUGAUGAUACUAAUGUAACGUCAUAUGGUGUAUGUUUUAUGUAUGAUUUCCAAAAGAAAAUUUAUGAGAAGAUGUUGUAAAUGAGUGAUAAUCCUUGCCUCUGUCAAAUUCAUCUUUUAAAGCUUUGUUGUCUUCGUAUAAUUAGUUGUGAUGCCUUUUAUUUUUUUGGUUACAAAAAUUUUAGGGUGAGGUGAGGGGAUGGUGCCCCAGUCCAAGGCAGGGAAGACCUUCGGGCUCAAAGAGCGCGUACAAAG
rnacentral:lncRNA from 1 species